AAUUCUCAACCUCUCUAGUUUUUACAAACUAGUAGAUGGCUUGGAUAUGGGGGUUUUUUGCAGGCUUUCACAAGUCAGCUCCCCUAAAAUGUAUUAGCCGGUGCCCUCUAAACCGUCUAUUGGUGUGAUAAUUAUCUACGCCGUGGACUAUUAGACUUGGUUGCAUUGCUUCUAAUCGUCCUCUGGACAAUUUUAUGACA
rnacentral:misc_RNA from 1 species